UGCCCGCCCCAGGGCCACGCGCCUGUCCGGUGUGCACCCACGGGCUCCGACACUUGCCGCCCGGCAGCCUGCAGAGCGACCCUGACUGGCACUGCCCGGGGCUGGGGGUCGGCAAGGCCACGCUGGGCAGCAGGGAGUGGGCGGGUCAGCCCUGGGUUCCCUUCCCGCCCUCCCUGGUCACGGGCUUGGAGGCCCUUGUUCUCUUCCCGGAAGAAUCGUAGUGUCGGCAAAGGGCGGGCCCACCUGUGCCAGUGCGGCCAGGUGGUCAGACAGACAUGGGCCUCGUGCACUUCCUGGUGUCUGUGUGCUCUCUGUCAUGCCCACACGCCCCCCACGUGCACACACAGCAGCAGGUGCACUGAUGUGCCCUGGGGUCACCUUGAAUACGGGCUCAGCUGGCCUCGGUUCCCAGCACAGGAGUACGGGCGGGAGGAGCCACUGUCCACUGUUGGCACAAGCGGGAGCCCGUGCUUUGCCCUGCUCUCCCCACCAGUGACCUGACCGUGACAGGUGGCGGGGUCACUCCGAGCGGUCUGGGUGCUCAGCAGAGCUCCAGGCUGCCAGCCUGCUUGGUUGAGGCCGGCGGGGGUGGCGCCCACCACACGGCUCCCUGCAGGCUGCUCAGCGCUGGGCCCUGUGCUGUGUGUGUGUGGUCUUAGGUGUGAUGUGACCGUGUGCACACUCUGAGGGUGGAGCCGCAGUGCUGGGCCCUGUGCUGUGUGUGUGGUCUUAGGUGUGAUGUGACUGUGUGCACACUCUGAGGGCAGAGCCCCAGUGCUGGGCCCUGUGCUGUGUGUGUGGUCUUAGGUGUGAUGUGACCGUGUGCACACUCUGAGGGUGGAGCCGCAGUGCUGGGCCCUGUGCUGUGUGUGUGGUCUUAGGUGUGAUGUGACCGUGUGCACACUCUGAGGGUGGAGCCGCAGUGCUGGGCCCUGUGCUGUGUGUGGUGUUAGGUGUGAUGUGACCGUGUGCACACUCUGAGGGUGGAGCCGCAGUGCUGGGCCCUGUGCUGUGUGUGGUGUUAGGUGUGAUGUGACUGUGUGUGCACACUCUGAGGGCAGAGCCCCAGUGCUGGGCCCUGUGCUGUGUGUGUGGUGUUAGGUGUGAUGUGACCGUGUGCACACUCUGAGGGUGGAGCCGCAGUGCUGGGCCCUGUGCUGUGUGUGUGGUCUUAGGUGUGAUGUGACCGUGUGCACACUCUGAGGGUAGAGCCCCAGUGCUGGGCCCUGUGCUGUGUGUGUGGUCUUAGGUGUGAUGUGACCGUGUGCACACUCUGAGGGUAGAGCCGCAGUGCUGGGCCCUGUGCUGUGUGUGUGGUCUUAGGUGUGAUGUGACCGUGUGCACACUCUGAGGGUAGAGCCCCAGUGCUGGGCCCUGUGCUGUGUGUGUGGUCUUAGGUGUGAUGUGACCGUGUGCACACU